CAGCAGCCGCGGGAAUACGAACCGUGCGAACGUUAUUCGGAAUUACUGGGCUUAAAGCGCGUGUAGGCGGGCCGCCACGUCGGUUGCUGAAAUCCCCCGGCUCAACCGGGGAAGUGGCAUCGAUACGAGCGGCCUUGAGGGGGGUAGGGGGAUCUGGAACUUCCGGUGGAGCGGUGAAAUGCGUUGAGAUCGGAAGGAACGCCCGUGGCGAAAGCGAGGUCCUGGUCCAUUACUGACGCUGAGGUGCGAAAGCGUGGGGAGCAAACAGGAUUAGAGACCCCCGUAGUCCCUGUCUCUUAUA
rnacentral:rRNA from 1 species